rnacentral:rRNA from 2 species
UGGGGGACAACGUUUCGAAAGGAACGCUAAUACCGCAUACGUCCUACGGGAGAAAGCAGGGGACCUUCGGGCCUUGCGCUAUCAGAUGAGCCUAGGUCGGAUUAGCUAGUUGGUGAGGUAAUGGCUCACCAAGGCGACGAUCCGUAACUGGUCUGAGAGGAUGAUCAGUCACACUGGAACUGAGACACGGUCCAGACUCCUACGGGAGGCAGCAGUGGGGAAUAUUGGACAAUGGGCGAAAGCCUGAUCCAGCCAUGCCGCGUGUGUGAAGAAGGUCUUCGGAUUGUAAAGCACUUUAAGUUGGGAGGAAGGGUACUUACCUAAUACGUGAGUAUUUUGACGUUACCGACAGAAUAAGCACCGGCUAACUCUGUGCCAGCAGCCGCGGUAAUACAGAGGGUGCAAGCGUUAAUCGGAAUUACUGGGCGUAAAGCGCGCGUAGGUGGUUCGUUAAGUUGGAUGUGAAAUCCCCGGGCUCAACCUGGGAACUGCAUCCAAAACUGGCGAGCUAGAGUAGGGCAGAGGGUGGUGGAAUUUCCUGUGUAGCGGUGAAAUGCGUA